rnacentral:rRNA from 1 species
UUGAGCGGAGAUAUAUGGAGCUUGCUUUAUAUAACUUAGCAGCGAACGGGUGAGUAACACGUAGAUAAUCUAUCCUAUACUGGGGGAUAGCCCGAUGAAAGUUGGAUUAAUACCGCAUAUAGCUAUAUAGUUGCAUGAUUAUGUAGUGAAAGAUUUAUUGGUAUAGGAGGAGUCUGCGGCACAUUAGCUAGUAGGUGAGGUAAAGGCUUACCUAGGCGACGAUGUGUAGCCGGUCUGAGAGGAUGAACGGCCACAAUGGAACUGAGACACGGUCCAUACUCCUACGGGAGGCAGCAGUGGGGAAUAUUGCACAAUGGGGGAAACCCUGAUGCAGCAACGCCGCGUGAGUGAAGAAGGUUUUCGGAUUGUAAAGCUCUGUUAGCAGGGAAGAGGAAGGACGGUACCUGCAGAGGAAGCCACGGCUAACUACGUGCCAGCAGCCGCGGUAAUACGUAGGUGGCAAGCGUUGUUCGGAAUAACUGGGCGUAAAGGAUGCGUAGGCGGUUAAACAAGUUAUAUGUUAAAUAUAUAGGCUUAACCUGUAGAAAGCAUAUAAAACUGUUUAACUAGAGUGCAGGAGAGGUAAGUGGAAUUCCUAGUGUAGCGGAGAAAUGCGUAGAGAUUAGGAAGAACACCAGUGGCGAAGGCGACUUACUGGACUGUAACUGACGCUGAGGCAUGAGAGCAUGGGGAGCAAACAGGAUUAGAUACCCUGGUAGUCCAUGCUGUUAACGAUGGGUACUAGGUGUGGGUUGUGAAUAACAAUUCGUGCCGUCGCAAACGCAAUAAGUAC